CAAUAGCGUAUACUAAAGUUGUUGCAGUUAAAAAGCUCGUAGUUGGAUUUCUGGUCGAAGCAGCCGCUCGGCUUCUAGUAAGUUUGUAGCAGGCGCUUCGUCCAUUUUUGUAAAGACUAUGUCUGUCAUUAAGUUGGUGGGCAUAGGACUUGCAUCAUUUACUGUGAGCAAAAUAGAGUGUUCAAAGCAGGCUUAGGCCAUGAAUAUCUUAGCAUGGAAUAAUAAGAUAAGACCUUGGUCUAUUUUGUUGGUUAGCAUUCCGAGGUAAUGAUUAAUAGGGAUAGUUGGGGGUAUUCGUAUUCAAUUGUCAGAGGUGAAAUUCUUGGAUUUAUUGAAGACGAACUACUGCGAAAGCAUUUACCAAGGAUGUUUUCAUUGA
rnacentral:rRNA from 1 species